rnacentral:rRNA from 1 species
UACGUAGGGUGCAAGCGUUAAUCGGAAUUACUGGGCGUAAAGCGUGCGCAGGCGGUUAUGCAAGACAGAUGUGAAAUCCCCGGGCUUAACCUGGGAACUGCAUUUGUGACUGCACGGCUGGAGUGCGGCAGAGGGGGAUGGAAUUCCGCGUGUAGCAGUGAAAUGCGUAGAUAUGCGGAGGAACACCGAUGGCGAAGGCAAUCCCCUGGGCCUGCACUGACGCUCAUGCACGAAAGCGUGGGGAGCAAACAGG